GACGAACGCUGGCGGCGUGCCUAAUACAUGCAAGUCGAGCGGACGAACUUUUAGUGCUUGCACCGAAUUUUCGUUAGCGGCGGACGGGUGAGUAACACGUGGGCAACCUGCCCUGUAGAUUGGGAUACCUCCGGGAAACCGGGGCUAAUACCGAAUAAUACUUUUUAGCUCAUGUUAGAAAGUUGAAAGAUGGUUUACGCUAUCACUACAGGAUGGGCCCGCGGCGCAUUAGCUAGUUGGUGAGGUAACGGCUCACCAAGGCGACGAUGCGUAGCCGACCUGGGAGGGUGAUCGGCCACACUGGGACUGAGACACGGCCCAGACUCCUACGGGAGGCAGCAGUAGGGAAUCUUCCACAAUGGGCGAAAGCCUGAUGGAGCAACGCCGCGUGAGUGAAGAAGGAUUUCGGUUCGUAAAACUCUGUUGUAAGGGAAGAACAAGUAGCGUAGUAACUGGCGCUACCUUGACGGUACCUUAUUAGAAAGCCACGGCUAACUACGUGCCAGCAGCCGCCGUAAGAC
rnacentral:rRNA from 1 species